CUAAGAAAGCCUACUCUCUGACUGACUCCAGAGCUAACUGUUGGCCUUUCUUCUCAACCCCAUAUUAAGUGACUUCAUGUUGGUAGCUUAAAAUUGGCCAUGGUAGAAAUAUAAGUCAACAAACAGUACAGAUCAGUCCUUCUCCCCAAAUUGGCUGUUACAUACCUAUCAGCAUACUACUGACAUGGAUGGUAGAAACUAGGGGAGUGAAUUCUCUCCCAUUGUGACCCUACUGGGCAGUUGAGCCUGGUUCAAGAAAGGCCGCAAGGACUUUGCAGGCACUACAUUCUUUUAUGGCUGGAAUAUUGCUGAGGGCUCUGGGUUCUAUACUUUGGUGGAGAGGCUGAUAAGGAGAAAGGUGGAGUGAGGAGUGACAAGCUAUGAUGGGUCACUUUAGGUCUCAGUUGGUGAGAUAAAAUGAGAGGCCGGUGCCAGAAGAAAGGCCUUCCCUUCCUUGGCUUCUCUAGUUCAGUAGUAGCUGGUCAGGCCAGGCAGGGUGGAGAAGUAAGGGAAGAUCGCUUGGAGAGAUUUGAGGACCGCUGUGGUUCUGUGAGCGGUCCUUCCCCUCUCCACCACCAGAAGGCGCUCUUGCGCGGUCUCCAGAACCAUCGCUCCAAUCCCACUUGGCGACGCUCUAGUCGCUGCUUCUCUAAGGACGGCGGGGCGGCCUCGGUGCGCGCAUCCUGCGGGUGCGGGUUAUGGCGCGGCUCCCGAAGCUCGCAGUCUUCGAUCUGGAUUACACGCUCUGGCCGUUCUGGGUGGACACGCAUGUGGACCCCCCGUUCCACAAGAGAAGUGAUGGAACUGUACGCGAUAGGCGGGGGCAGACGGUCCGGCUGUACCCGGAGGUGCCUGAGGUCCUGGAACGGUUGCAGGGCUUGGGUGUACCCGUCGCGGCCGCCUCACGGACAGGUGAGGUUGAAGGGGCCAAUCAGCUAUUGGAGCUCUUUGACCUUGUCAGAUACUUUGUUCAUCGGGAAAUCUAUCCAGGCAGCAAGAUCACACACUUCGAGAGGUUGCAGCGGAAGACUGGAGUUCCUCUCUCCCAGAUGAUCUUCUUUGAUGAUGAGAGGCGGAAUAUUGUAGACGUCAGCAAACUGGGUACUGAGUGGUGUUACCUGCAUUCAUGUCCAGAACGGAAUGAACCUUCAGAUCCUAACCCAAGGAUUAGAGACAUUUGCAAAGGCCCAAGCUGGACUCUGAAGUCCAAUCCUGUGAAUGAACCUCAUUUGAGGCACAGAACCGCAAGAACACCAGGAGGGCAUUUUCAGCCCCCUGUACUUUGUUCAGUUUGAGCCUGUGGAAUCAAGACCUUGAAUAUCUCUUAGGAUAGCAAGUGGAACGGUGAUUAUAAAAGUGACUGAACUCUGGGAAAAAGGAGAAGGGGCCAACCCCUGAAGAAGCAAUACAGAAACUGAAGGAGACGGAGAAGAUACUGAUCAAGAAACAGGAGUUUCUGGAGCAGAAGAUUCAGCAGGAGCUACAAACCGCCAAGAAGCAUGGGACCAA